UGGGGAAUAUUGCACAAUGGGCGCAAGCCUGAUGCAGCCAUGCCGCGUGUGUGAAGAAGGCCUUCGGGUUGUAAAGCACUUUCAGCGGGGAGGAAGGCGAUAAGGUUAAUAACCUUGUCGAUUGACGUUACCCGCAGAAGAAGCACCGGCUAACUCCGUGCCAGCAGCCGCGGUAAUACGGAGGGUGCAAGCGUUAAUCGGAAUUACUGGGCGUAAAGCGCACGCAGGCGGUCUGUCAAGUCGGAUGUGAAAUCCCCGGGCUCAACCUGGGAACUGCAUUCGAAACUGGCAGACUAGAGUCUUGUAGAGGGGGGUAGAAUUCCAGGUGUAGCGGUGAAAUGCGUAGAGAUCUGGAGGAAUACCGGUGGCGAAGGCGGCCCCCUGGACAAAGACUGACGCUCAGGUGCGAAAGCGUGGGGAGCAAACAGG
rnacentral:rRNA from 1 species